rnacentral:rRNA from 1 species
GACGAACGCUGGCGGCGUGCUUAACACAUGCAAGUCGAACGGAAAGGCCCUGCUUGCAGGGUUCUCGAGUGGCGAACGGGUGAGUAACACGUGGGUGAUCUGCCCUGCACUUCGGGAUAAGCUUGGGAAACUGGGUCUAAUACCGGAUAGGAGCCAUCUUUAGUGUGGUGGUUGGAAAGUUUUUUCGGUGUAGGAUGAGCUCGCGGCCUAUCAGCUUGUUGGUGGGGUAAUGGCCUACCAAGGCGGCGACGGGUAGCCGGCCUGAGAGGGUGUACGGCCACAUUGGACAGGAGAGACGGCCCAGACUCCUACAGGAGGCAGCAGGGGGGAAUAUUGCACAAUGGGCGCAAGCCUGAGGCAGGGAGGCCGCGUGGUGGAUGAAGGCCUUCGGGAUGUAAAAUCCUUUCGCUAAGGAAGAAGCUAUGUUGUGACGGUACCUAGAGAAGAAGCACCGGCUAACUACGUG